GAAAAAAAAUAACUAUUUGUUUUGUACAUGGUAAGAAAUAUUAUAGAGCACAACCAUUGCCCCAAAAAUAUAUUUAAACAGUAACUGUUGUUUAUCUGUUCACUGGCAAAAAGUUUAUUUUUGGGUGACGCUUGUAGUCAAUGAUAAUUUAGCCAAAAUAUUCCUUUAAUUAGUCCCUAUUGUAGCUAAAUAUGUGACAAAUAUGGGUUAUGAUGUCACAGUCAAAUUGUGUAAUAAAGGCUUGGCUAAUAUUUACAUUUUUUAACAAGUGUUUCUUAGGAUGCUUAAAAAUUACUUCAGUAGAAGUAAAAUUUUUCUUUUUGGUAAUUUACAGGUCACAAUAAGCCCCGAAUUGUACCUUGUCCUAUGGAUGCAGGAAUGCAAUUCAAGUGUGAGGCUUUUUUAUAAUAACAACAACAAAUACGGUAUAUGUUUUGAAUGAUGAGAAUUUUAAAAUCUUUUGUAAGGGGAGAUAACUCAGAUAGUUUUAUAGUAUAAAGUAAUGUACAAUUCAAUAUGAAGUAUGAACAGAUUCUCUAAUUUUUUACUACUCCAAUCUACUUUUAAACUGAUUGUAAAGUGAUUGUAUUUGAUAUUUUUGAGUGUACUAGUACAAUGUUGCACAUUGAAAUAAGAAAGCAUUAUAUAUGUACACCAGAGCCUUAUCUUAUUAAUUUCCUGACCUCAGAAUAUAAUUAGAGAUAUAUGAUCUAGCUUUUCUGCGUCAAUAUUGAAGAUUAAGUUUCUUACAAAUGCAUGAAAAAUCCUUUCUUUUUUGUCUGGUGCACAUACAAACAAGACCCAACAACAUGAGUGGACAAUAUCUCAAAUAAAUUAACGGGUAAUUAUAAAACUUGCCAUGUAUCUCAAAGACUUAAUUUGUUACUUGAUAUUAUUAUACAUUGUAGUUGUAACAACAAACAAAUUACUGUGUUUGGUAGGACAUUUUUACAUAGGUGUUUGGUAGGACAUUUUAACAUGUGUAUCACCUGAUCUGAUUCUUACUUGUUAUGGUGAUUUUUCAUCGAAUACGACCAUUGAUUCUUUUAUUUUCUGCAGAUUUCAAAACUGUCAAAGAAACAAAAACUAAAUUUUAAGUUAGGUUAAGUUAGUUAUUUUAUAAGUUUUAACAUUAUUGAUUUUUUUUAAAUGAAUAUUUAAUUAUUGAUCAUGUUUAUGGAUAUUUAAUUCAUGUGUAUUUUCAUCACUUAAGUUUGAUUACCAAAUCUUCCACCUCCAUUAAUGUCAACCACUUUAUAGAAUACUGUAAAGAUUGUCAAUUUACAUCCAAUAUGUUCUCCUUGUGUACACUAUUUACUGAAUAUGUAAUAGAAAACUUGGCAAACUUAAGAGGAAUGUAUUGAGAAUUGAAACUGUUUAUGUGUAGAAUUUGCACAAAUAAUACCCUUGUGAAGAUAUUUUUACUUGCAGAAUUUGUUUUUUUUAUUGUAUCACUUUGAAAUACUGCGAUUUUAUGAUUUUUGGGAGAGGGGCGCACAAGAAAUCAUUAGGUGAUGGAAAGUUUGAUUUGUACUCAAAUUUGAAGAAAAAACCUUCAUUUUUUGCAGAAAUUUAAUUAAUCUGUUUUUAAUACCCCUGAAAGGUCUAAUAGAAUUAUGGUAUUAACUUUAUUAUACCCCUGCUUAGGGAAGCAAGGUUUAGUGAUCAUUUUGUCUGUUGUUUCAUUCAUUCGUUAGUAUGUUCAUUCAUCUGUUUGCUCGAUUUUGUACUGUGACUCUUCGUUAAAGAAUGACUGGGUUCGUAUGAAACACGAGUCCAUCAAGUAUCUUAUGUCAUACUGCACCUCAUAUUAUUUCAUCAAUUGUCUUCCUGUAUUAAACAGAUACCUUAUGAAAAUCUCUGCCUGUUAAUUUCAAUUAGAUUUUACCUUUCUGAAACUGCUUCUGACAAAAAAGAAAACUGUGGUCAGGAUAUUAUUAUGUUGGUUACACUAUCUUAUAAUAAAUAUACACUCUUCUUACCAUGUUUAAGUUUUGUAUUUUGAUGGUAAAGUCAUGUUUGCAAGAAAAAUAUAUGUUAUUUAUAUAUUUUCUGCCUAUGAUAUUGUUAUAUUUUUAAUGUAAUGUCCAUCCAUGAAAUUGUAAAACCUUUGUUAUAUUUAUUUUAGAAUGUCUGUGAUAUCCUUAUGCCUCGGUUAGAUUUGUUAUAGAAUGUCCGUCCACAAAAUUCUUAUUAUUUCUUUAUAUGUAUAAUCAUAGAAUGUAUAUUGAAGAUACUCUUAGCAGCCCUUAAUUGUCUUUUAUAUUAAACCCCAAUCAAUUACCUUGUCCGUCUGUUCGUUCGUUUGCCCAAUAUUUUUGGUACUACUGAACAAUGACUUCAUAUUUGGUCAGAUGUUUGAUGUUGAUGAGUUGUAAUAUGUGAGCAUAGAAGACAGGAUGUAUUAUGGUAUACCAUUGUGUGUCCAUCCAUCCGUCUGUGUGUCAACACUUUGUAUGAUAACUCAAAUUUGCUCUAACCAAUUUUUAUAAAACUUUUACACAACAUUAGAAUUGACGGAAGAAAGCUCACUUUCAAUACAAGGCAAUUUUUCACAAAUUGCGCACUAACUUCAGUAUUCUUGGAUUGAUUUCCUCCAAACUUUGUGGGGAUUGAUGAAAAAAGCACUAUUUUGAUUUUUAAAAUUUUCCGGUUUGUCAAUCCAGAGUUAAGGGAAUUUAAUUGUCAGAUUUUAGUAAAUUUUUCACAUAUUGUACUAUAACUUGAGUUUGCUUGGAUUGAUUUAGUGGAGUCUUUACAUAAUUGUUGGAAUUGGUAAACAUAAAAAACUGUUCAAUUUAAAAAACGGUAGCCUCAGGCAUGUUGAUCUACAGAGCUAUGUUAUUUGCUUAUGAUUAAAUGCCUGUGAAAUUACCCAUUUUAUUCUUGCAACAAUUUCAAUAUGCACAAUAAAGGUGUAUCAUGUGCUCUUGGCGCAGCUGUUUAUUUGGAUGUGUCGGAAACCAAAUUCCAGUUUGUUGACUUAUUUUCUAUGUGUAGAAUGAUCUUAAUAUUUUCGUCAUACAUUUCUUAGGUGCUUCUGAUCAUAAUGACUUUAUACUUAGUGAGCAACUUAGCGGUAAUGAGAGUGCUUUUUGUAUCUGUCAGAAACCUAUCUGCUUCUUGUUUUCUGAUACUCUGAAUUACAAUAGAGCUAUAACUAACGCAACUAAAUUUGCAACCUCUUGUUUAUUUUUAUAUCGUUUAAUGUUUGUACAUGAAAUCUGUUACAUUUGUCACAGAGUGACUGCCCAUGAUUAUAUGUGUUUCAUAACUUAGUUGAUAUACAAGAUGUUUUAUAGAUAUAUGUUGAUUUCUGUGAUAUACAUUAUUAACUGCUGAACAUCAUACUGCUGAAUAUACUUAAUGUAUGACCUUGGUUAAAUCAAGGGUUAAUAGAUAUUAAUGUGUAAUUAAACUAUAAAAACAAAGAGCAGAGGGACCAUAUCAAAAUGCUUUAGAUGAAAACAUACUCUGCUUUUACCUAAAAAGGGAAAACCUAUAGGUAUUCAUUUUAUGAUUUUCAUACUCACAAUGUUUGGAGUGUGGUAUUCAAGCUUCUUUUGAUGACUUUCUAGAUGUGUUUUCCAGAGUUACAGAACUUUGAUUGUCAAGAAAUC